rnacentral:rRNA from 1 species
CGCGGCCUAUCAGCUUGUUGGUGAGGUAACGGCUCACCAAGGCGACGACGGGUAGCUGGUCUGAGAGGACGAUCAGCCACACUGGGACUGAGACACGGCCCAGACUCCUACGGGAGGCAGCAGUAGGGAAUCUUGCGCAAUGGGGGAAACCCUGACGCAGCGACGCCGCGUGCGGGAUGACGGCCCUAGGGUUGUAAACCGCUUUCAGCGGGGACGAAAUUGACGGUACCUGCAGAAGAAGGCCCGGCUAACUACGUGCCAGCAGCCGCGGUAAUACGUAGGGGCCAAGCGUUGUCCGGAAUCAUUGGGCGUAAAGAGCUUGUAGGCGGUUUGGUGAGUCGGAUGUGAAAUCUCCACGCUCAACGUGGAGCGGCCAUCCGAUACUGCCAUGACUUGAGUCCGGUAGGGGAGUGUGGAAUUCCCGGUGUAGCGGUGAAAUGCGCAGAGAUCGGGAGGAACACCCGUAGCGAAGGCGGCACUCUGGGCCGGUACUGACGCUGAGGAGCGAAAGCGUGGGGAGCGAACAGGAUUAGAUACCCUGGUAGUCCACGCCGUAAACGUUGGGCACUAGGUGUGGGACUCUAUCGACGGGUUCCGUGCCGUAGCUAACGCAUUAAGUGCCCCGCCUGGGGAGUACGG